GUGGAUGUGGCUCAGUGGUAGAGUGCAUGCCUGGCAUGCAUGAAGCACUGGGCUCGAUCCCCAACACCACA
rnacentral:tRNA from 1 species